rnacentral:rRNA from 1 species
UACGUAGGGGGCAAGCGUUGUCCGGAAUCAUUGGGCGUAAAGAGCUCGUAGGCGGUCUGUCGCGUCGGCUGUGAAACCUUGGGGCUCAACCCCAAGCCUGCAGUCGAUACGGGCAGACUAGAGUGCGGUAGGGGAGACUGGAAUUCCUGGUGUAGCGGUGAAAUGCGCAGAUAUCAGGAGGAACACCGGUGGCGAAGGCGGGUCUCUGGGCCGUAACUGACGCUGAGGAGCGAAAGCGUGGGGAGCGAACAGG